CUCUGCCUUCAUGUUUUACUUUAUUAAUUUAUUGUUGUUUUCUUUCUUUUUGACUGGCAAUUAGUCUCAAUUGUUAGGGAAAUUUGUACUCAGUUGCCUGCCUUAUUUUCUGAUUUUACUUUGUCAUUAUUCAUCACAGCAUUGUUUUGCUUGUGUUAGAUAGUGGAUUAUCUUUCUGGGAUGCUUUGAAUAUUCCCAGCUCUGCUUGGUGCCCUUCAUGGUAGUUGGUUAUCAUAAUUGCACCAGUGGAGGAAAAGUGCUGUUGAAGAUGGACUUUUGACUUUUGGAGGUUCUGGUUGCAGUUUAAAAAUUGUCUUGUGGUCAUGGGACUAUCCACAUAUUGGAUGCCACUGCAAGAUGAUUAACUCAUUGCAAAAAAAGCACUUGAUGGUAAUCUGUCACCAACUAUUGUCCCCUGAAGAGUGAAGACUAAUGGAAUAGCUGCAAAAUAGGUAAGUGCUCAGUAAGAGGCCAUUUUGUUGCAAGGGAUUUGAUCUUGGCUAACAAGCACAAAAGCAAGGUUCAAUGUUUAAAGUGGUUACAUCAUGCAAAAUUGCUAAAUGGAAGGAUUUUAUCUGUAUCAUCUCUUGAAGAACCUUAGUUAGGCAAGAUCGUGACUAGGUAAUGGCCCUUUUUGGUUCAUCUCGACUCAACAUUUUUUAGUCAAAUUUUAAUGUUAGACAACUUUUCACUUUAUAUUAGAUGAAGCUUCUUGGAAAUCUAUUAGAGAAUGUUUUAACAUCAAAGGCAUUAUAUUUGUCUUAAGAUAUUGUUUCGUUGGAUAUAGAGAUAAUCAGCAUUUGUUCUGAUGAGAAACUAAUUUUCAAUAUUUUCCUUUUUCCAAAUCUUAUCUGUUUCACAACUCCUGUAAAAUGCUUGCCUGAGCUAAACAAGCUGGCAUUCGUUAUAUGUGGUUUGAAUAUGAUGAAUUUGCUUUUAGUAUGUCAAAACCAAUAAAUUUUCCUUUUUUACUUAACCACAUAGUAUACUUUGUCUUAGAAUUAAUGGAAUGUCCCUGAUUUUGUUAAUAUUUCCUUUUAAGAGUAUGAUUGGUUGACUUUUUUUUUUUUUAUAGUUUUUUUUACACUUAACAUGGACUGUGAUACACAUCUUGCAUUCCAAGAUGCAUAUGAGUUGUUGGGCACAAAAUUGAAGGCCUAGUUGCCUAAAUAUCUAUAUAACUGAAAUUCUCUAUGGCUAUGUUUGGUGUACAGGAUUAUAAUAAGAUAAGAAAAGAU